AGUGAACGCUGGCGGCGUGCCUAAUACAUGCAAGUCGAACGGAGUGGCGCACGGGUGAGUAAUGUAUAGCUAAUCUGCCCUACACUAGAGGACAACAGUUGGAAACGGCUGCUAAUACUCUAUAGUGUAGGAUGAGGCUAUAUUGUAUCAGCUAGUUGGUGAGGUAAUGGCUCACCAAGGCUAUGACGCAUAACUGGUCUGAGAGGAUGAUCAGUAACACUGGAACUGAGACAGGGACCAGGCCCCGACGGGAGGCAGCAGUAGGGAAUAUUGCUCAGUGGGGGAAACCCUAAAGCAGCAACGCGGGGUGGAGGAUGACACUUUGCGCAGCGUAAACUCCUUUUGUUAGGGAAGCGGUACCUAACGAAGAAGCACCGGCGAACUCCGUGCCAGCCGCCGCGGUAAUUC
rnacentral:rRNA from 1 species